ensembl:lincRNA
CACAUAGUAGACAAUAACGAUUUAUUGAAAGAAGGAAACACUCUUAAAUGUUUGCACAGUGCUGAGAGGGGCGGCUACAAAGAUGUUUAAGCCACAUUCGAGGUCCUCAAACAGAUCAGAGCCCAGAUCAGGAGAAGUAUUGUGGGAAAAAAGUGCCUGACCACGUAAAGAAGAAUAGACUCAAGUGUCAAGUUCGUGGCGCGGGUAGUUUUGCCUUUGGGAGGUGAAGGAGGAGAGUUGAGGUGACUCCAUGGAGGACGGCUUCCCGUCCGACCGUGGGCACUCGGCAAGCGGCAGCAGGCGCCACGCAAAUGGACAGGUGCAGGGAGAGGCCCCAGGGCCAUGUUAAGGAAGAUGGGGCUAAGUGGAGAUGCGGGAGCGACGGGAGGGCGGAAGGGCCAGUAACUGUGCUGCACAAACCUCUGUUCCUGAGCGCAGCGGGAAGGCAGAUUCUCAUGGUGCAGCUGAUUCUGGUCAGUGGAACCAGGGUUGGGCUCAGGAUCUGCAAUUUUUAAACCAUUUAUUUAUUUAUUUAUUUGAGGGAUGGGGGGAUGUAGGAGCAGAGGGAGGGAGACAAGCAGACUCUGCACAGAGCACAAGAGCCCAGAGCACAGGGUGGGACUCGAUCCCACCAUGAGCUGAAAGCAAGAGGCGGAUGUUCAACAGACUGAGCCACCCAGGCACCCCUUUUACUUUUUUUUGUUUUGUUUUGUUUUUUAGGUUGGCUCCAUGCCCAGUGUGGGGCUUGAACUCACGACCCUGGGAUCAAGAGUCACACGCUCUUCCAACUGGGCCACCCAGACCCCCUAGGCAUGUGUGUCUUAAGCAAGUGUUCUCGUGCUUCCGAAGCAGGUUUUCCAUCGGGUCCUUGUGGCUGGGCCGUUGUGAAGAUGAGAAGCAGCACACAUCUCGGGAGACAUUACAGUUCCCUCAAGCACAGGAACUGCGCCGGAUGUGGGACUACAGAAGACCCUGCGUGCGUGUUCCUGGCCAGCAGCCAUGCCUGCUCUUGUUCGCACAGCUUCCCUGCGUGUGGGUCUCCAGUCCUGCCUUCCGGCUGUGCGCUUCACUAAGCUCUGGCCCCGACGGCUCCGAAAAGCCACCUACUAAUUAACCUCAGCAACUCCUGACCCUUACAUUCCGGCUCUGACCGCAUUGAGGACAGUCACGUGACCUGAUCCUGGGCGAGGUCAGGCCGCUGGAAGCAUCGCUGCGGGAAAGUUCCUCAUCGUGUGAAAGAGACGCAAAGAGCCGUGAUGCGCUGUCUUCCUCCAGGGGAGGAUGUGGGAAUGUGGUGCCUGGGGGAGCCCGGCCAGGACUCCGAGGAAUGACGCUGUGGAGUCAUCACAUGGACCCCCCUGGGGUCACUGCAGCUCACAGUUUCUCGAGUCGCAGUUCCAAAUCCCAUUACUGCUCACGCCCUGCUGAGUUGUUCUGUCUAGUUGACCCUUGUCCGUCAAGUAGGCAGUUGACUCUUCAGGAGCACAGAAGAUGUUUGGGAUGGAAGUAGACGGUUUUCUAAUCAUUUAAUGCCCGUGGAUACGGGUGCUGACAGCACAGUAGUUAGGAACCUUCUUUUUUUUUUUUAAGAUUUUAUUUAUUUGACAGACAGAGAUUACAAGUAGGCAGAGAAGCAGAGAGAGAGAGGAGGAAGCAGGCACCCCGCAGAGCAGAGAGCCCAAUGCGGGGCUCCAUCCCAGAAUCCUGGGAUCAUGACCUGAGCCAAAGGCAGAGGCUUUAACCCACGGAGCCACCCUGGUGCGCUGCGCCAACCGUUAUUGAAGAGGUACCGAUGUUCCGUGUGUAUACUCGCUUCAUAACGUGGUUAAAAUGGGAGUGACAGGUGCUCAUGGGCCAUGGAGGGCACAACAGCUCCUUACGACCUCACUGAAGAUCAGUUACGAAGCACUCAUCAGAAUUCCACCAGGAUGGGGACGCCUGGGGGGACUCAGUCGGUGAGGCGUCUGCCAUGGGCUCAAGUCUCGACCUUGGAGUUUUGGAAUCGAGCCCCACCUUGGCUCCAUGCUUGUCCCUCUCACUCUGCCCCUCCCCCUGCUAGUGUGCACUCUCUCUGUCAAAUAAAGAAAUGAAAUCUUAAAAAAAAAAAUCCACCAGGAUAUUCACUGUAACAGUAAAACCCUGGACACUGGCAAGUAUCCACCAAUAUGGCCCCAGUUAGGUAACUACUUAUGUAUGGUUCUGUUAUACAAUACAGUGAUCUGUAUAUGCUAAUUUGGAAAUGCUUGACUAUAUUAUUAAAUGAAUAGCGCAAAAUACAAAACCCUAUGCUUAGCCUGAUGUGUUUUGCUUUUGUUUUUGUUUACUCCUUUCAUAUAUAUAUUUUUUCAUUUUGGAGGUAGAGUUUAGUGACUCAAAAGUUGUAUAAUCAGGGCUCAUCCCAUCAAGUGCUCUCCUGAAUGCCCAGUUGCCCCGUCCGCCCGCCCACCUCCCUCCAGCAACCCUGUUUGUUUCCUAGAGUUAAGAGUCUCUUACACUUUGCCUCCUUCUCUGUUUUUAUCUUAUUUUAUUUUUUCCUCCCCGACUCCUAUGUUCAUUUGUUUUGCUUCUUGAAUUCCACAUAAGUGAAAUCAUAUAACUGUCUUUCUGUGAUUGAUUUAUUUUGCUUAGCACAACACCUUCUCAUUCCAUCCACGUUGUUACAAAUGGCGAGAUUUCAUUCUUUUUGAUGGCUGCAUGAUAUUCCAUAUGGAAACAUGAUCUCUUUCAUAUAACAGUUUUAAAACAUAGAAAUUCAUAUGUAAUAAUGUAUCUCUUAGAGUUGUUUGGGUUUUUUCCCCUGGAAGGAAUCAUAAGAAAAUGCUAUUAGUGUUUAUUCUUUAGGGGCUCACAUCACUUUGUUUUUUUAAUUGUAGCCGACACUGUGAUUUGGUGCUCUGGUGUCGUUCAAAGCCCCCACCCCAUUGCCUUCCAAAUCCAGCGGAGGCAAGAAAGCAGAAGGGCUUGGGUCUUUAGAAUCCCCUGCAGCUAGGUUGGCCUUGUCAUUAUGGAAAUGUUCUACCUGAGGACAGUCAGGGGAAGUCUCUGGGAAAGCUAUUUAGAAGGGACUCACUUGACCUCAGUGCACAUACUCUCCUGCCUUCCUCACUGAGCCUAUUUUCGAAGAGGCCAGUCGUAUGACCCCUACAUGACUUCCCCCACUGAUCUGGACUACAGCCCCAUCAGAACCUCUGGGGAAGAGUGAAAAGGCAAUUGGAUUCUCCAUGGCUGCAGAGCCCGUGGCUCCUACCUUUGAUGGGUCAGCCACGGCGGCCACCAGUGAACUGGACAUUUGUUCAGAGAACAUUGGCGUGAAGGUUGUGCUACGGUUUAUGUGCGAGAGCUAAUGACCAGAGCGCCAGAGGAGACCUGCAUCUGCAGGGAGACGUCAUUGUCACCACCGGUCAUGCUUGCAACGAAACGAGCACUCCACUGACCUGCUACCUGCUCCUUCCCGUGAAGAGUCAGAGUUCAGAAGCCUACGUCGACAGAAUAGAGUUGAUUUUUCUAGAAAAUUGGUCAAGUAUUACAAAUGAGACUUCCAGCUGGAGAGACACAUUUUUUAACAAGUCAUCUAUACUGAGGGCACGGACGAUGCAUGGACCUUUCCAAGUUUUUGAGUGAGAGGGACAUUUAUGGACUAUGUCGCACAAAGAUGGGCUCAACAGGUUUCUGUCUGAACUAAGAAGAGGGUGAGACUUACCCGCACCUGAACCCAAUGCCCCCUGUCGCUACCCUUCACGCUUUCUCUGCCUGAGGUCCAGCAGCCCCUUGACAGUCCUGAAGACAAAAGGCCUUUGCUGGGGGGCAGCAGAGCGGGAGGUAGAGGCCGUUUGGAAUUUGAACAACCUGCACCAGGUCUAGACUGCUCACCCCCAGAGUCUUUCACUGCGUGGGAAGAACAGACUUCUGUCUGUCUAAGACAUGUUGGUCUGGUUUUCUGUUGCUCGCAGCCAGGCGUGCUCCUAAGAAUACUGGGUGUUUUCUAGUUGCCUCUCCAGGUCCAAGUUCUAUCCUUCCCAACUGCUCAGGGUCCCAAGAGGCUGUCUUGUCGGGACUGCAUACACAAGCUCACCUGCCCGCGGGCUUCUGGUGGCACUUGGCCCAGACACUCUACUCCUGUGAGUCAGCAACGUUCUAUACUUGCCAGAGUACACCAACAAACGUUCACAAGGACAGGGACUGCAGGAUUGUCUGUAAUGGCAAAAUAUUGAAAGCAGCCCAAAUGUCCAUCCGUCGGGAGGCUCACUAAAUACAAUAUGGUGUGAUGUACAUUAGAAUACUUUGCAAAAAGAAAAAAGGGGUAGCUCUGAGGUGCUGCCAUUGUAUGCAUAUAUAUAUAAUAUCAUGUAUAAUAUACUUAAAAGUCAGCAUUAUAUAUAUCUCCCGUAUCCGUUGACAUAUAUAUGUGUGCGUAUAUAUAUAUCCUUACAGAAAGGAUAAGCAAACUGUCGCUACCUUUUUUAAAAAACAUCUAUGAAGAACUUAAAUUUUCUUACCAUGUUUGUGUUACUACUUUAUUUCUUUAUUUUUUAUUAUUGUGUUAUUGAAAUGUCAACAGGGCUGUUUAAGGCCUGCUUUACCCUGGGUUCCCCAGGAAAUAGAGCGUAAACCAAAGGCUUAUGUGUCUGGCUUUAUAGCAGGGAAAGCAGUCCCCGGCGUGAGGGGCAGAAGGGCCGGAAGGAGACACCAGUGUCAGCGCGCCUUCUCACACUGACCAUGAAGUGUGGUGGGUUGUUCAGACUCACAGAACACGCUCUUAAAAGCUAUAUAAUCUACAUUUCAGGAAAAUCUCUCCCUGGCAGAAAGAGGGAAAAAUUUAUUCACUGAGUCCAGUGUUCCAUUAUUCAGAGGUUUGUCCCAAGAGACAUUAACUGUCCUGCCCUUGGGGCUGUGCGAGCACUUGGUGGUGAGCAGGGUUACGGGGCAGCAACAGCACGGAGCCCCAAGGGCAGAAGCUGGGAGGAGCCUGCUGAGGGCACCUCUCCAGUCCAGUCCGUGUCCGUGUCCGUGUCGUCAGCACAUGCCCACC